rnacentral:rRNA from 1 species
UACAGAGGGUGCGAGCGUUGUCCGGAAUCACUGGGCGUAAAGGGCGCGUAGGCGGCGCGGAUAGUCGGCGGUGAAAGCCCGGAGCUCAACUCCGGGUCGGCCGUCGAUACUUCCGGGCUUGAGCACUGUAGAGGCAGAUGGAAUUCCGGGUGUAGCGGUGGAAUGCGUAGAGAUCCGGAAGAACACCGGAGGCGAAGGCGGCUUGCUGGGCUCGGUCUGACGCUGAGGCGCGAAAGCGUGGGGAGCGAACAGG